AUACCUUUCUCGACAUUUUGGCAAAGACUCAAGUUUGACGUCUGUUUUUAUCAGUUUAAUAUCUGAUAUAUGAGCCAUCAUCUCACACAAUAUUGAUUUUUUUUUUCAUAGGGGAGUUCCCAUAACAAUAACUUGCUAUGGGGGUUGUCCAACAUCUCCCUUUCCUUACACUACUGCAAGGGCUUGAUGCACCUACC